UUUAUAAGAGGAUAUAAUCGAUUACGUCCCGAAAGGUGUGUCGAAGGGUCGUCCGACGGUGGACACGAAUCGGGGAUUAUAGAGGAAUAUUUGCUAUAACGAGAGAAUAUUUCUUCGUAGAAAACAAUAUUUCAUCGCGGAAUCUGUAUGGGGUGUAUGUUGUCCCACCCUCAAGAGAAUUCAGCGCAGUUCAGAUGGGAGAAUGAAAAUCAAUAAUAACGUUGACGGUGUUCUUGGAUAUUGAACUAAUAUCAAAUUGGAUAGUUCUUAAUUAGAAAAUUAUAUACACCAUAGUCAUAUUUAUUGCGAUACCAUGGGUGAGAUUAGGAACAAUAAGGAAAAUCUUUGGGCGAUUAACAUUGAAACCGAAAUAAAGGAUCUGCGAAUCAAUAUUCUAGAAGAAGAGGAAGAAGGAGGAGGUACAGGAGAUGAAAGAGUGGAAACUGAAGGUAAAUUUUAUUUAAUCAAGUCCAUGUUGGACUCUGGCCGAAUAUUGAUUUUGCGUAUCUCGUUUUGAUUUCGAAAAUUCCUAACACGGUGUAUCGUAAGAACGAACUUGAAUGGAUCGUCGAGACCUAUCGGGAAUAAUAAUAAUAUGGAAAUAAUAAAGAAUACUAUCGAGAAUAGAACCGAUUAUGAGAGUCGAAAAUGUAUUCAUGGAUUGAAGAAUGAGCAGAAAAAAAAUCGAAAUGAAACUAAGGUAUGUUUAACUCUCAAAAUGAUUAAACCUGCAGAGACGAUCAAAACAUUUACCAAUUUCCGAAAUAAUAAUGAAUACUUUUAAGUCAUACGAGAAAUGAUAGUAUCACGCUUACGUCAUCGUGUUAUCGUAAUUAUAUACAUCAAUAAUCAUUCAAUGUAAUAAAAACAGAAGAAAUGUUGAAUUUAUAAAUCGUAAUAUUCAUGAGAUGUGCUUCAAAAAUAUUCACAAUAUAUAAUGUACGAAUGGUAGAAAUGUAGGAAUUUCGAUGUUUCUGUGUAGAGCGAAUUCUCUUAAUAUGUACUGAUUGGGAUUUAAUAAUGUGCAUGUACGCUCUCCCGUAGUUAUCGUCAGUACGAUUUAUUAUUACCUAUUUCAAUCUAUGCGUAUUCUUGUGAGCUCAUUAAUAUAAGCUAAUUCAAGUGGGCGGUAAUGAGUGCUCGGUAUUGCGAGCGUGUGUGCGUACGCCUCUUGUUUCGUUUGGUCGAAAAUAAGAAAGGAAUUUUUUCAUUUGUCUUCUCUUCAGCAAAGCAAGCAGACAGUGAACGAUACGAUUAGUUAUGUAAUUCAAUUAGCCGUUUAUAUGCAUUCUUUAAUUACCCGAUUAGCUCUUUUGCAGUGCAAUUGACCACGUCACUGAUUUAAUGCUUUUAUAAGAUGAAUACACUUCCCUAAAAAUUCUUUCUCGAUAGGGAAACUUAAACAAAUGAUUCAAUUCUACUUCUAGCCAUCUAAUAUUUAGUAUAUUAUGUUUCAAACCGAUUAGUUUCUUGGAAAGUAUUAUAUUUCUUAAAUCGUUUAUUUCUUAUUACGUAUAAUGGAGUAUAACUGCUAUUUUAUUAUAUUUCAAUUAACACAAUAUUUUUAUUUUGCGAAUCCGUUAUCCGAAUGAUGUUAUUACUCGAUGAGCGCACAUAUAACAAACAUUUACGUAAUACUUCGCCCAACAUAGUAGCGAUCUAUUAUAUUGUUUUCUUGGUUUGUUAUUCGACCAAUCGAUCGACAUCGCUCAAUGUGUAAGUUAUAAAUGUUAGUUAAUAGAAAGAUAAUUUUUCUGUGAAAUUGAAAUUACCAGUUCUUCUAAAUACGAUAUUCAAAAUUCUACUUUCCCGGUAAUGUCAACAUUUUCUUCACAAACAAUAAAUAAAUAAGAAUUAGUAAAUACCGACGAAAACUAAACACAUAGAAAGUAGAAGGAUAGAAAAUAUAAGUGUAUGGAAAAUGACGGAUAAGGGAUAUUAACGGGAAAAAGAAACUCAAAAACUGUAAAGAAUGAUGAAAACGAAAAAAGAUUUCUCCUUAUCGGUAUCGAUAAAAAUUAUUUGUAACAUUGUGAUGAAAUUACCGGGGAUGACAUAAUAUCUCAUCAAUUUAUGAAAAAUAGUGGGGAAGAAAAUAGAUAGAAGCGAAAAUGUGAUUUCAUACUAGAAUUUAUUGUAUACUUUUAAAGGGAAUACAGUUUGUUUAUUCAGUCGUUAUUUGAGCCAACUUCUGAGAGAUCGAGAAGAGAAUGGCCCAGAAGAAUAAAUCAACAACCAAUCAGUUAUGAUAAUGAAUUCUAUAUCAUCUAUAUCGUUUUAAACAAUAUACACUCGACAAGAUAAAAGAUUUUUGAAUUUUUUUGAUCUCUGAAUUCAUUAUUGUGCCAAUUGCUUUUAUAUAGUUCUGUAAGACUAAUAGAAGGGCCUAUAACUAUUUUCGCUAGAUCUUCGUUACAAUUCUUUAAUCAGCUUAACGAUAAAAAUUUUUCUUCAUGUUUCCCUCAUCUUUUCAUUAUUCUUUCAUAAUUCUUCUCACACGGCAGACGGAAUCUACAAAUAUAUACACAAAUACAUAUAUUCAUAUCUAUAUACACAUAUAUAUCUUACUGUAUACUAAAAUCCAAUACAUUUACAUACUUGUUUAUUCGCAUAUUUGUCUACGUGUUGAUAAAGUAUAUGUAUCUGAACAUCUGUAAGCAUAUAAAAAUAAAGUAUGAUUAAUAAAAUGUAAUAAAAAUGAAAUAAAAAUGAAAAUUAAAUUAAAGGGAAACUUGGAAAAUAAAUUGAACUAAUAAAAAAGAUGUCAUUAAGAAAGAAGCAAAAUAUGUAUCGGGAAAGUGUACCAAAUAAUAUCGACUCCAUACUUUCAUAUAUCUACGCAAUACAGAUAAAUGUAAACUUGACUGUUAAUAAAUGUGUGCUUUUCCCUUAAUUUAAAAAAAA